rnacentral:rRNA from 1 species
CCUACGGGAGGCAGCAGCGGGGAAUUUUGCGCAAUGGACGAAAGUCUGACGCAGCGACGCCGCGUGUGCGAUGAAGGCCUUUGGGUCGUAAAGCACUGUCGAACGGGACGAAAACUCCGGUACUAAUACUAUCGGAGUCUGACGGUACUGUUAAAGGAAGCACCGGCUAACUCUGUGCCAGCAGCCGCGGUAAU